GAUGAACGCUGGCGGCGUGCCUAAUCCAUGCAAGUCGAGCGAACAGACGAGGAGCUUGCUCCUCUGACGUUAGCGGCGGACGGGUGAGUAACACGUGGAUAACCUACCUAUAAGACUGGGAUAACUUCGGGAAACCGGAGCUAAUACCGGAUAAUAUAUUGAACCGCAUGGUUCAAUGGUGAAAGACGGUUUUGCUGUCACUUAUAGAUGGAUCCGCGCCGCAUUAGCUAGUUGGUAAGGUAACGGCUUACCAAGGCAACGAUGCGUAGCCGACCUGAGAGGGUGAUCGGCCACACUGGAACUGAGACACGGUCCAGACUCCUACGGGAGGCAGCAGUAGGGAAUCUUCCGCAAUGGGCGAAAGCCUGACGGAGCAACGCCGCGUGAGUGAUGAAGGUCUUCGGAUCGUAAAACUCUGUUAUUAGGGAAGAACAAAUGUGUAAGUAACUAUGCACGUCUUGACGGUACCUAAUCAGAAAGCCACGGCUAACUACGUG
rnacentral:rRNA from 1 species